UAGCUCAGUGGUAGAGUGCUUGCCUGGCAUGCAUGAGGCCCUGGGUUCGAUUCCUCG
rnacentral:tRNA from 1 species